UACAGAGGUCCCAAGCGUUGUUCGGAUUCACUGGGCGUAAAGGGUGCGUAGGUGGUCGGGUAAGUCUUAUGUGAAAUCUCUGGGCUCAACCCAGAAAUGGCAUUGGAUACUAUUCGGCUAGAGGAGUGGAGGGGGGACUGGAAUACUUGGUGUAGCAGUGAAAUGCGUAGAUAUCAAGUGGAACACCAGUGGCGAAGGCGAGUCCCUGGACACUUCCUGACACUGAGGCACGAAAGCUAGGGGAGCAAACAGG
rnacentral:rRNA from 1 species